UCGCUAUGAUGAACUUGAUUCCAAAGCCAUUCGUAGUUUCCACCAGAUGCCAAAAGGCUGAUGAUGGUCUAGCACCUUCCUUGGAUGUCUGAGCGA
ensembl:snoRNA SNORD14 Small nucleolar RNA SNORD14